UUUGCCAGUCACGUGAUGACUGGCAAAGUAUGGUGCUGAGGGACUAAGGGCCAGGAGAACCCACCUUCAGAAAUUCCAAAUGCAUUUAAACUGUGAAUUAGAUGAUCCUACCUACUUCAGGGCUGGAAAAAAAAGAAGACAUCUUAUGAAAGGAAAACAGUUGUUGUAGUAUUUCUGUGACGGGCUUGCCUUUCUUAUACUUUUAUUUUUACUCUCUUCUUUCCCUAUAGUGAUGUCAAACCCAAAGGUACUGAAGGAGUUCUCAACUUUAGGUCUGUAGGGUGAACUGGCCUUCACAGGGAGGGGGCAAUUGCUUGCCCUUUGCCAACAAUCAACAGCUUCCCCAGGUGAGAGGACUGAUUGAUUCAAAGGCAUCAUGUGAUUCAAAUGAACCUAAUCUGCUGUGAGAAAGAAAGGCAAUCUGGGCUGAGCUGGGGAGGGCAGUCUGUGUGAGGAAAGGAGGCUAAUGUCUUCUAUGCUGUUUGAAAGCUGUAAGGAAAAGCUUCUUGCAGGAGGAGAGUUUGCUAAGGUUGUUUCUAAGCCCUUGCAUCUAAAAGCUCUGAGCCUUCGGGAAGGAUUAUGAGCAAGAAGAAGUUAUGGUAGCUUUGAAAAGAGUCUUUCCCAGAAGUCAGUCUUGUAUACCUGCAGUAUUUAUUACACCCUCCCAGGGACCCAAGACCUAAAAGUAUUUUCAAGCUGAAAUUCCAGUGCCACCUGUGGAAAAAACUGUAGUUUUGGAAGACUAAAUAGAGAAGGGCAGUCAAAGGACUCUACACAUUCAAGAAAAAUCCUUAGAAGCUCAUAUAACGCCAAUUCUGGACACACACAUGGAUGUAGAAUGAACUGAGAAGGAAAAGGAAAGGUUUUUCCUUUGUCACUUAGAGCAACAAAAUGGCAAGUAAUGAAGGCCGUGUACCCAGGAAUAAAAUGUAUGCGAUCGAUGUAAUAAAUGUUGCUUUGCAAACCUGAGAAUUGAUUCGUGAACAGCUGUUUCUCAUCAAUCCCACUCUAAUGCAGGUUUGUCCAAUGUAUCAGAAAUACUUGUUCCUCUGUAUGGCCUAAUUAAACUGCUAGACUUCCUUUUGCUGUUUUCUUCUGCCACUUUGGGAGAACAGGUUAACUGUGGGAAGCUUACAAUGAACAGGAGAUACCGGUUAUGCAACACAUCUAGUGAGCACUAAAGGGUAGCAUGUAUAACCUAUACUGCCCCAUUGUGAAUAUUUGUCAGCUUAAAAGAAAAUUAUGGUAAUGUUAACAGUUUCCUUAGCUAGCUUGGCAUAUUGCCUCGCUUUGAGUUUGCUCUUUGUUGCUCUUAGUUAUUAUAUCGGGGUGCUGUCUUAUUGUCUGCAGUAUAUUAAGAUAGAUUUGAAACCUUUACAUAUCUCUAUGAGCUCUCUUACACUCAAGUUAAUUAUUUCUGUAGGAGUUAAGCCCUUUCCAUGGCAACUGCUUUGCCUCCAAAGAUUUUAUGAAGUGGAAGAAAAUGUACUAAUUUACCUUAAUUUUAUGGAGUACAUAAGUCCCUUUUAAAAU